UGGGGAAUAUUGCACAAUGGGCGCAAGCCUGAUGCAGCCAUGCCGCGUGUAUGAAGAAGGCCUUCGGGUUGUAAAGUACUUUCAGCGGGGAGGAAGGGAGUAAAGUUAAUACCUUUGCUCAUUGACGUUACCCGCAGAAGAAGCACCGGCUAACUCCGUG
rnacentral:rRNA from 5 species